rnacentral:rRNA from 1 species
GUCGAACGCUGGCGGCGUGCUUAACACAUGCAAGUCGAACGGAAAGGCCCUGCUUUUGUGGGGUGCUCGAGUGGCGAACGGGUGGGUAACACGUGAGUAACCUGCCCUUGACUUUGGGAUAACUUCAGGAAACUGGGGCUAAUACCGGAUAGGAGCUCCUGCUGCAUGGUGGGGGUUGGAAAGUUUCGGCGGUUGGGGAUGGACUCGCGGCUUAUCAGCUUGUUGGUGGGGUAGUGGCUUACCAAGGCUUUGACGGGUAGCCGGCCUGAGAGGGUGACCGGCCACAUUGGGACUGAGAUACGGCCCAGACUCCUACGGGAGGCAGCAGUGGGGAAUAUUGCACAAUGGGCGGAAGCCUGAUGCAGCAACGCCGCGUGCGGGUUGACGGCCUUCGGGUUGUAAACCGCUUUCGCCUGUGACGAAGCGUGAGUGACGGUAAUGGGUAAAGAAGCACCGGCUAACUACGUG